UGUUCUUUAAAUAAGGACUUGUAUCAACGGCAUCACGAGGGUUGCACUGUCUCCUUUUUCUAAUCAGUGAAACUAAUCUCCCCGUGAAGAAGCGGGGAUACUACUAUAAGACGAGAAGACCCCAUGGAGCUUUAAACCCAACUACACCCCUAUUCCUAAUAACUACUUAAUCAAUUGGACACUGUAUGCUUGGUUUUAGGUUGGGGCGACCACGGAGUAAAAACCAACCUCCAUGAUGAACGGACUUACCCCUUAUCUAAGAGCCACAGCUCUAAGAAUUAGAACACUAACAUAAAAUGAUCCUUUCUUGAUCAACGAACCAAGUUACCCUGGGGAUAACAGCGCAAUCCAUUU
rnacentral:rRNA from 1 species